GUGGGGAAUCUUGCGCAAUGGGCGAAAGCCUGACGCAGCCAUGCCGCGUGGAUGAUGAAGGUCUUAGGAUUGUAAAAUCCUUUCACCGGUGAAGAUAAUGACUGUAGCCGGAGAAGAAGCCCCGGCUAACUUCGUGCCAGCAGCCGCGGUAAUACGAAGGGGGCUAGCGUUGCUCGGAUUUACUGGGCGUAAAGGGCGCGUAGGCGGACAUUUAAGUCAGGGGUGAAAUCCCGGGGCUCAACCUCGGAACUGCCUUUGAUACUGGGUGUGUUGAGUAUGAGAGAGGUGUGUGGAACUCCGAGUGUAGAGGUGAAAUUCGUAGAUAUUCGGAAGAACACCAGUGGCGAAGGCGACACACUGGCUCAUUACUGACGCUGAGGCGCGAAAGCGUGGGGAGCAAACAGGAUUAGAUACCCCUGUAGUCC
rnacentral:rRNA from 1 species